GACGAACGCUGGCGGCGUGCUUAACACAUGCAAGUCGAACGGAAAGGCCCUGCUUUUGUGGGGUGCUCGAGUGGCGAACGGGUGAGUAACACGUGAGUAACCUGCCCUUGACUUUGGGAUAACUUCAGGAAACUGGGGCCAAUACCGGAUAGGAGCUCCUGCUGCAUGGUGGGGGUUGGAAAGUUUCGGCGGUUGGGGAUGGACUCGCGGCUUAUCAGCUUGUUGGUGGGGUAGUGGCUUACCAAGGCUUUGACGGGUAGCCGGCCUGAGAGGGUGACCGGCCACAUUGGGACUGAGAUACGGCCCAGACUCCUACGGGAGGCAGCAGUGGGGAAUAUUGCACAAUGGGCGGAAGCCUGAUGCAGCAACGCCGCGUGCGGGAUGACGGCCUUCGGGUUGUAAACCGCUUUCGCCUGUGACGAAGCGUGAGUGACGGUAAUGGGUAAAGAAGCACCGGCUAACUACGUGCCAGCAGCCGCGGUGAUACGUAGGGUGCGAGCGUUGUCCGGAUUUAUUGGGCGUAAAGGGCUCGUAGGUGGUUGAUCGCGUCGGAAGUGUAAUCUUGGGGCUUAACCCUGAGCGUGCUUUCGAUACGGGUUGACUUGAGGAAGGUAGGGGGAGAAUGGAAUUCCUGGUGGAGCGGUGGAAUGCGCAGAUAUCAGGAGGAACACCAGUGGCGAAGGCGGUUCUCUGGGCCUUUCCUGACGCUGAGGAGCGAAAGCGUGGGGAGCGAACAGGCUUAGAUACCCUGGUAGUCCACGCUGUAAACGGUGGGUACUAGGUGUGGGGUCCAUUCCACGGGUUCCGUGCCGUAGCUAACGCUUUAAGUACCCCGCCUGGGGAGUACGGCCGCAAGGCUAAAACUCAAAGGAAUUGACGGGGCCCCGCACAAGCGGCGGAGCAUGCGGAUUAAUUCGAUGCAACGCGUAGAACCUUACCUGGGUUUGACAUGGAUCGGGAGUGCUCAGAGAUGGGUGUGCCUCUUUUGGGGUCGGUUCACAGGUGGUGCAUGGCUGUCGUCAGCUCGUGUCGUGAGAUGUUGGGUUAAGUCCCGCAACGAGCGCAACCCUUGUUCACUGUUGCCAGCACGUUAUGGUGGGGACUCAGUGGAGACCGCCGGGGUCAACUCGGAGGAAGGUGGGGAUGACGUCAAGUCAUCAUGCCCCUUAUGUCCAGGGCUUCACGCAUGCUACAAUGGCUGGUACAGAGAGUGGCGAGCCUGUGAGGGUGAGCGAAUCUCGGAAAGCCGGUCUCAGUUCGGAUUGGGGUCUGCAACUCGACCUCAUGAAGUCGGAGUCGCUAGUAAUCGCAGAUCAGCAACGCUGCGGUGAAUACGUUCCCGGG
rnacentral:rRNA from 1 species